AAAUUGAAGAGUUUGAUCAUGGCUCAGAUUGAACGCUGGCGGCAGGCCUAACACAUGCAAGUCGAACGGUAACAGAAAGCAGCUUGCUGCUUUGCUGACGAGUGGCGGACGGGUGAGUAAUGUCUGGGAAACUGCCUGAUGGAGGGGGAUAACUACUGGAAACGGUAGCUAAUACCGCAUAACGUCGCAAGACCAAAGAGGGGGACCUUC
rnacentral:rRNA from 1 species